CAACGACAGAAUAAGAUAAAGAACUAGAAGCUCAGUGAAGAUAAGUGACUUGCCCUGAAGUGAUGGAUUUGGGAGUAGAACCCAGUUCUCUCAUGAGGAAUGUUCUUCUAUGAAGAAUUUUCAAAGGAAUUGGGAGUGUUCACUCAGGAAAAAAGCAGCCGUAGGAGGAUAUAAUCAAUUAUGUUACAAACUCCACCAGACAGGGCAAGAGAUUUCUGUGACUUAUAUAAGCCUGAUUUAAAAUGUAUCAUUUUGAACAAGACUGGGGAUGGCCAGAACCUUGCUCCUGCAAUGCAAGGAAGCACCGUGGUACCAGAUCUCUUGAGAUUCUUUGAGCAGCAUGCACUGUGGCCCCAGAGACAGAACUGGGACAAGUCUUAACUGUGUCUCAGGAAGGAGGUUUUCCAGACAGAUCUGCCCCUGGAGGGUGAGCUCCCCAUCCCUGGGGCUGUGCGAGCAGGUGCUGACUUCCACCAAAAGGCCACAGAGGGGCUGUGCAGGUUAAGUGAAGUAACAGGAUGUCAUCUAUAAAGGGCUGAGGAGCCAUGUAAGCAAGUGACUGCUGAUCCUGAGGUGCAUCGGUGACGGAGUGACUGCUGUACUGAAUGCUGAUGAGACCCUUCCUCCUGGAGCUGCACUGUGAGUCCACCUCUGACAACUGGCACCGAUGAGUAAAACAGUCAAGUUUGGGUGGAGGGGUGAGGUUACACGGGGGUUGGGUAAUGAGUUAGAAGUCUGGUUCCUCCUCUGCCCGGCUUUGAAUUCUUAAUCACA